rnacentral:rRNA from 1 species
GACGAACGCUGGCGGCGUGCUUAACACAUGCAAGUCGAACGGAAAGGCCCUGCUUUUGUGGGGUGCUCGAGUGGCGAACGGGUGAGUAACACGUGAGUAACCUGCCCUUGACUUUGGGAUAACUUCAGGAAACUGGGGCUAAUACCGGAUAGGAGCUCCUGCUGCAUGGUGGGGGUUGGAAAGUUUCGGCGGUUGGGGAUGGACUCGCGGCUUAUCAGCUUGUUGGUGGGGUAGUGGCUUACCAAGGCUUUGACGGGUAGCCGGCCUGAGAGGGUGACCGGCCACAUUGGGACUGAGAUACGGCCCAGACUCCAACGGGAGGCAGCAGUGGGGAAUAUUGCACAAUGGGCGGAAGCCUGAUGCAGCAACGCCGCGUGCGGGAUGACGGCCUUCGGGUUGUGAACCGCUUUCGCCUGUGACGAAGCGUGAGUGACGGUAAUGGGUAAAGAAGCACCGGCUAACUACGUG